ACUCUCGAGACAGGGAAGAACUCAGUUUACCCACAAGGGGUAAGUUUCUUAUUUCCUGCACCUCGUGGAUUAUCAUCCUUCCAGUCAUCCCAAGCCCUUGCUUUCUCUUGUGCUGCAUCGUCAUCGUCAUCUUCAUCAUCGUCUUCUCCAGGCUUUGACUUCCUAUCAUUGUGCCAAGAUGAAUUGGCUUCUUCCAUGAGUUUGACAUUUCUCUCUUGCCAUUUAUUCAUUAUUUCCAUUUCUUUUAGUCCAGCCUCCUCAAUGCUCAUAGUUGGCAUCCUUCCAAAAAAAAUUUCAACUUAACAUCUCAAAAAAUAUAACCAGACUGUAACUAUCAUUAGUUUAAACCUUGUUCCCAUAGGAUUUGUAAAACUCAACUAAGUUACUUCUCUCAUCCAUAGGCAAUAGAACACUGAAAACUACAAGGAAAUAAAAAAUAUUUCAUCUCUUUUCAAGCAUAUGAUCCGAGUCUGUUUAAAACACACUAAUAUUUCCCCAUUCCGAAGCCUUUCAUUAGCCAGGCAGCGAGCAUUUUAUUGAUAAAGGGGAUAAUGUGUACCUAUGACUAGGUUGGAAGACCUGAGCUGCCAUUCUUUCUCUCUCUGUUGUUAAGCUUCCAUUCAGAAGGCUGGCAGGUCCAAAUAUCAGUGGUUG
rnacentral:lncRNA from 1 species